rnacentral:rRNA from 1 species
GAUAAACGCUGGCGGCGUGCUUAACACAUGCAAGUCGAACGGAGUGGUCCUCCCGAAGCGUGAAGGUGCUUGCACCGGAACAAUUCAUUUGGAUCACUUAGUGGCGGACGGGUGAGUAACGCGUGGGAAACCUGCCCUAUACUGGGGGAUAGCAGUUGGAAACGACUGAUAAUACCGCAUAAGCGCACAGUAUCGCAUGGUACAGUGUGAAAAACUCCGGUGGUAUAGGAUGGUCCCGCGUCUGAUUAGCUAGUUGGUGAGGUAACGGCCCACCAAGGCGACUAUCAGUAGCCGGCCUGAGAGGGUGUACGGCCACAUUGGGACUGAGACACGGCCCAAACUCCUACGGGAGGCAGCAGUGGGGAAUAUUGGACAAUGGGGGCAACCCUGAUCCAGCGACGCCGCGUGAGUGAUGAAGUAUCUCGGUAUGUAAAGCUCUAUCAGCAGGGAAGAUAAUGACGGUACCUGACUAAGAAGCACCGGCUAAAUACGUGCCAGCAGCCGCGGUAAUACGUAUGGUGCAAGCGUUAUCCGGAUUUACUGGGUGUAAAGGGUGCGUAGGUGGCAAGGUAAGUCAGAUGUGAAAACUAUGGGCUCAACCCAUAGACUGCAUUUGAAACUGCCAGGCUAGAGUGCAGGAGAGGAAAGUGGAAUUCCUAGUGUAGCGGUGAAAUGCGUAGAUAUUAGGAGGAACACCAGUGGCGAAGGCGGCUUUAUGGACUGUAACUGACACUGAGGCACGAAAGCGUGGGGAGCAAACA